UACGUAGGGGGCUAGCGUUGUCCGGAAUCAUUGGGCGUAAAGCGCGCGUAGGCGGCCAGAUAAGUCCGGUGUGAAAGCCACAGGCUCAACCUGUGAAUGCCGCUGGAAACUGUCUGGCUAGAGUCCGGGAGGGGCGAGUGGAAUUCCUGGUGUAGCGGUGGAAUGCGCAGAUAUCAGGAGGAACACCAACGGCGAAGGCAGCUCGCUGGGACGGUACUGACGCUGAGGCGCGAAAGCGUGGGGAGCGAACAGG
rnacentral:rRNA from 1 species